AGUGAACGCUGGCGGUAGGCCUAACACAUGCAAGUCGAACGGCAGCACAGUAAGAGCUUGCUCUUACGGGUGGCGAGUGGCGGACGGGUGAGGAAUACAUCGGAAUCUACUUUUUCGUGGGGGAUAACGUAGGGAAACUUACGCUAAUACCGCAUACGACCUACGGGUGAAAGCAGGGGAUCUUCGGACCUUGCGCGAUUGAAUGAGCCGAUGUCGGAUUAGCUAGUUGGCGGGGUAAAGGCCCACCAAGGCGACGAUCCGUAUCUGGUCUGAGAGGAUGAUCAGCCACACUGGAGCUGAGACACGGUCCAGACUCCUACGGGAGGCAGCAGUGGGGAAUAUUGGACAAUGGGCGCAAGCCUGAUCCAGCCAUACCGCGUGGGUGAAGAAGGCCUUCGGGUUGUAAAGCCCUUUUGUUGGGAAAGAAAAGCAGCAGGUUAAUACCCCGCUGUUCUGACGGUACCCAAAGAAUAAGCACCGGCUAACUUCGUG
rnacentral:rRNA from 1 species